GAUGAACGCUGGCGGCGUGCCUAAUACAUGCAAGUCGAGCGAACGGACGAGAAGCUUUCUUCUCUGAUGUUAGCGGCUGACGGGUGAGUAACACGUGGAUAACCUACCUCUAAGACUUGGAUAACUUCGGGAAACCGGAGCUACUACCGGCUAAUAUUUUGAACCGCAUGGUUCAAAAGUGCUAGACGGUCUUGCUGUCACUUAUAGAUGGAUCCGCGCUGCAUUAGCUAGUUGGUAAGGUAACGGCUUACCAAGGCAACGAUGCAUAGCCGACCUGAGAGGGUGAUCGGCCACACUGGAACUGAGACACGGUCCAGACUCCUACGGGAGGCAGCAGUAGGGAAUAUUCGGCAAUGGGCGAAAGCCUGACGGAGCAACGCCGCGUGAGUGAUGAAGGCCUUCGGAUCGUAAAACUCUGUUAUUAGGGAAGAACAUAUGUGUAAGUAUCUGUGCAUAUCUUGACGGUACCUAAUCAGAAAGCAACGGCUAACUACGUG
rnacentral:rRNA from 1 species